GAUUUAUCUUCCUUAUGUUCACAAUAUCUGUGCUUACAAGUGGUACAACAGUAGCCUGGUAAAAAAGGAAAUUAGACCAGUUUGUAUUGUCAAAUCUGAGACCUAAGCCUUUCCUACAAAUUCCUUUGGGUCUAGCAGCCCAUGGAUAUGAUAAAGAGAAGGCAGGGAUGACUUAAUGAAAAGGAAGACUGAGUGGGUAUGUAUGCUGAAAAAUGCCUCAGAAGAGAAAGAACAGCUACCAUGGAAACAAUAAUAGUGACUGCCUUGCCUCAUCUCCCCUACUCUGCACAGGUGGAAUUAUAAUAAGCAAUAUGUGCCAGUGGAAGGUGCAGAGACCAGCCUCCUUUGACAGAGGGAAGAGAACUUGGAAUCGAUAACAGAGAAGUUAUGCUGUGUCCAGCAGUCAAUUAUGUUUUGUUUAUAUUCACUUAGAAGGCUCCCAUACCACACAUAGAGUAAGUUGUUGUCAUCAUCAUCAUCAUGAACAUUUAAAUCAAGUCUACUUCGUGCUAGACAUUGUUCUAAGUACUUAAAAGAUACUGUUUCAUUUGAUCCUUACAACAACCCUGGGGAGAAAUCCAUCAACCAGCAUGAGUGUGAGAAAUGCAUACUAGAGAUGUUCUAAGUCUAACUGCCUUAAAAUUAAAACUGCUCUCUGUCAAAGCACACUAGAUUAAGCCAGACGGGUGAAGGGUACAACUUUAAUUAGAUUGUUGGUCUUCAGCCAGCAGAUAUGCCUCUCCAGAGUAAAAACAGCCAACUACCGAAGAACGCACUUGUCAGGGAGAAGAAAAACAAUGUGACUGCUCCCAUCCAGCAUCAAAUACUGAGAAUCACAGUAAAAGAUCACACAUGUAAGAGAGCUGAGGCCCUCCCCUUCACUCACACAGGAUAAGCAUCAUUCGUCCUUGCUCUUUCGUUCCAGACAUCAGAACAAAAA